UACGUAGGGGCCAAGCGUUGUCCGGAUUUAUUGGGCGUAAAGAGCUCGUAGGCGGUUGGGUAAGUCGGGUGUGAAAACUCCAGGCUCAACUUGGAGAUGCCACCCGAUACUGCUCUGACUUGAGUUCGGUAGGGGAGUGGGGAAUUCCUAGUGUAGCGGUGAAAUGCGCAGAUAUCAGGAGGAACACCGGUGGCGAAGGCGCCACUCUGGGCCGAAACUGACGCUGAGGAGCGAAAGCGUGGGUAGCAAACAGG
rnacentral:rRNA from 1 species